rnacentral:rRNA from 1 species
GGCUUCUUGUCUAAGGUAAAUAAGAAGUCCGGCCUGCCCGGUGAAAUUAUUUUAACGGCAGAGGUAAAAUUCUUUAAUUGUAGCUCAAUUUCCUUGCCCUUUAAUUGGGGAGCGAUGUGAAUGGUAAGACGAGGGUCCAACUGUCUCACUACCAUAAAGUGAAAACGGAGUGUAGGUGAAAAUACCUACAUGGGCCAUAGGGACGACAAGACCCCGUGGAGCUUUAGUGUACUUUUUCCGAGUUGGAAAUUUGGUUGCUUAGGCUGGGGCAGCCGGACGGGAUAAAAAUACCGUUGGAGAGACAACCAGAGCAUGCGGGCUCUUAACGAUCCACCCUUACCGCGGUAAAGGUGAACGACGGAAUAAGCUACCCCGGGGGUAACAGGCUAAUUUCGCUCUGAGAGAUCCUGUCGAUGAGCGGGUUUGGCACCUCGAUGUUGGCUCAGGGUAUCCGGAAGAUGCAGGAGUCUUCAAUGGUUGGUCUGUUCGCCCAUUAAAACCCUGCG